rnacentral:tRNA from 1 species
CGUAGCUCAGCUGGAUAGAGCGUUGCCCUCCGAAGGCAAAGGUCACACGUUCGAAUCGUGUCGGGUGCG